UACAGAGGUCUCAAGCGUUGUUCGGAUUCAUUGGGCGUAAAGGGUGCGUAGGUGGCGCGGUAAGUCGGGUGUGAAAUCUCGGAGCUUAACUCCGAAAUUGCAUUCGAUACUGCCGUGCUCGAGGACUGGAGAGGAGACUGGAAUUCAUGGUGUAGCAGUGAAAUGCGCAGAUAUCAGGAGGAACACCGAUGGCGAAGGCAGCUCGCUGGGACGGUACUGACGCUGAGACGCGAAAGCGUGGGGAGCAAACAGG
rnacentral:rRNA from 1 species